GGAAGGUGUCGUGAGGGCUCUAAACCGAUGAAGAUUCUUUAGCCUGACAUCUUUGGGUCCUUAUAGAAGAACAAAGACCCGUGGAUGGAAGUCAAUCAAAAUUUUAAGAGCACAAGGAAGAAGCUGGAGUUUGGGAUCUCAGUCUAGUGCUCCAAUGUGGGUCUCUGCCUCUGUUUCCAUCAGUUGCUGGAUGAAGGUUCUAUAGUGAUAUUUAGGAUAUUCAUCGGCCUGACUACAAAAAGUGCCUUGCUACAUUCUCAAUCUAAUCUUCAAAGAUACUUCAAUCAGAAGGGCUUGGUGAAGAAGACAAUUCAGAUCUUCAUGAACUAAGAGGCACUUUACCACUUACUGACUGAGAGAUGAGUGAACUCAUAAGACAUGUGGAAAAGUUGACAAAGGCUUCAGAGAUGAAGUCUCUUCCACCUUAGUAAGAGGUGGCUACAAGCUCUGUCAGUUAGGAGGUCAACACUGUAAAGGUGUCACCUGGUCAUGUUGUGGAACGUUACUAGGAGUUGCAAACAUCAGCUUUUAUCAUUUAAAAGCAAUCAUCACAGAGUCCAGUCCAUGAGUGAAGCUGGUAUUGAGGAAUCUGCUUUGCAUUUCAGAUAAUACUUGCACAAUCUGGGGACACCUCAGGCCAAGAGUGCAUUUAAGGUAACUCUAAAGGAGCAGAUGACUUGAACUAUCCGUUACACCAGGGCACUAACCCUUCUAGUGCCCUCAGAAUUUACUGUGUGCUGACAAAUUUACGUAUAUUAUACUGUGUUUAUUUUAUAACAAAGUAUUCUUGAAUUUAACCCCCACGAGAGGGGGUACAAGUCCUAUCUGUUGUGGGAUAUUUGAUCACACUGUGAAGCAUGAGACUGCUUUAAUUAGAUGAAAUAAGCCUUGAGUCAGGAGAUGAAGUCAGCAACUAGUUGGCAGGAAGUAGCCAUAGAGAGUAAGAAGGAACCAGGAUAAUGGGUAAAGAGACACAAAGGAAGUAGCGAGGAGGGACCUUAAGUCUGGUGGCAUUUGUGGUUUGGGACAGAGGAAGGAAUGUUCUCUUUCUAUGAAGUCAGCUAAGGAGGAAGGUCAGCUGGUUGUUGCUCGGCCUCGCUGAGCUAACAGGUUGUCACCUCAGCAUCUCACUCCUGAUGACAUUCAUUAUUGGUAAAAAUCAUAAGACUGAGAUUUAGUUUACAAACAACAUUUGGUGCUCCAGCAUGUGACAUGAUCACACAUAAAAAGAGGUCAUGACAGUUGGUGCCUCCAUUUCUGCUGGCACUGCUGCUGGCCUAUGAUGCCCCUACUGUGCAUAAACUGAGAAGUCAGCAGAUUUGGAGAGAUGCCUGGGAAGUCCUUAAGGAGAGAGUUAAGGAAUAAUAAAAGGAAAAAUAUUUCCCAUGAUAAGGAUGGAAAAUAUCAGAAUGCAGGGAGUUAGGACCUUGUAUAGUGUGACUUUGCAUGGCUUCAAAAUGGAAGCUGUAAAUGAGGGGAUAAAUGACUUAGCUGGGGUUGACAUAAUGCUGACUGUAAUUAAUAACAGUCUGGUAAUUCAUAUUUUAUCCUUUAAAAAGGGGUUUGAUCACUGUGCCAAAUAUGAAAAGUUGACUAAUAAGAUACAAGCCUUAGAAAAACUUGUUAA